GGCUGGUCCAAAGGUAGUGAGUUAUCUCAAUUGAUUGUUCACAGUCAGUUACAGAUCGAACUCCUCGUUCUACUCUUUCCCCCCUUCUCACUACUGCACUUGACUAGUCUAAA
ensembl:Y_RNA Y_RNA Y RNA